rnacentral:lncRNA from 1 species
AUCAUUAUUUUUGCUAACCAACAUGAUAUAAUUCUGAGGUGGGCUUGGUAAUGGUGAGUCUCCCAUACCCCGCUAAGAGUUCAAUAUAACUCUCGAAUUCUAUUGAGGGAUGUGGAAUUUUCCAAAAAAUAGUGGGUGGUACUAUUUGAUUCAAAGACCCAAUCAAAUAGUUUUAAAACAAACAAUCUAAUACGAUUUCUGUUAUGUUAUGUAGUGAACGACAUGCCUAAAAUUAUACCCACCAUUAUACUUGACAAAAGGGGCCUUAAGGGCCAACGUUUCCUUGCUUGGUAUCGCCAUAUUGAGAAUGUCUCAAAAGUGAAAGACAUAUUGUAUGUGCUUAAGCAAUCCCCUCCUCAUGUACCUCCUACGAAACUAGCUUCA